GUGAUAAAGCAUGCGCAGUGCUUUGGCCAUAUAGAUAGAGACAUAAAGUCUCCCGGCUUUGAGGAAAAGAGUGAAAACAGUGCAUAUUUCCUACGUCUUGGAUACCUCCAUUAAGAUUUUUGGCUAAGUUUUUCCCAUUCACACAGAGUCUGAAAAAAGUCUGAGUCUGAAGUCAGGCUGAAAAAUGACGAAAGUCGGCGGCCCAGGCUGAAUGGUAAACGCGCACGCAGCCCUCCGGCCACGCGACGCCCAAGUAGGAAAAUUGUGAAAGAAGUCAGCCCAGGGUGAAGGGUAAGCACGCACGCAGCCCUCCGGUCACGCUCCGCCCACCACAGCAGCCCUCCAUCCGAGCACCGCCCACCUGUCACGGAAAGGAAGUCGGCCCAAGUAGGAAAAUGGUGAAAGAAGUCAGCCCAGGGUGAAUGGUAAGAGCGCACGCAGCCCUCCGGUCACGCUCCGCCCACCACAGCAACCCUCCACCCGAGCACCGCAUUGUUACAGUUGGUGAAGGUUUUUCGGCUGGGUUUUUCUCCUUCACCUGAUUGGCAUCACAAUUCCCAGCACUAUUGGCUUUAAUAAAUAUAUCUCAAUUUGAAUGGUAUUAAUAAAUAUAUUUUCACUUGUC